ACCUGGCUGGCUCAGUUGGUAGAGCAUGUGACUCUUGAUUUCAGGGUUGUGAGUUCAAGCCUCAUGUUGGAUA
rnacentral:tRNA from 2 species